CAGUGGAAGUGUCACCUCCUGCCGGGAGGGGCCCCUCGGAUUCAGAGCAUGUGUUUUUGCUUGGAACUUGUUCUCUCUAAAUAACUGAAGAUGGGAUGGAAACCGAAGAUGACAAUGAAAAUAUACACCAUCAUUUAUUAACAGCAUGGACUAUGGACCAAGUACUUGUUUCCGUUCAAGAUGGCAACGCAGGAGGCUGCUGAACUCACCUCCUCCCACGGACUCACGGAAUCUCCAGAUACAUAUGGAAGAGUUUCCUCUGAAAAAAAACCUCCAAAACUAGCUGAGUGACCCCCUACGCAUCGAGAGAAUGAGAAAAAACUCACAUGGAAGCAGCCGACAGGUCUCAGUGGAAACGUCUCUUCCCCUGGGAAGUACUCUCGGGCAUUUGGGCUGGCGCAGGGCCCCUCUGUUCUCUCACCACCCCUGUGGGUCCCCCAGCAUGGCACGUGUCACACUCUCUGUGACGGGACAUUUAACUUCCUGCUUCUCACAUUUGAUGCCAGAAGAUGAAGACAGACC